rnacentral:rRNA from 1 species
AGGCGUGCGAUACAGGGUGACAGCCCCGUACACAAAAAUGCACAUGCUGUGAGCUCGAUGAGUAGGGCGGGACACGUGGUAUCCUGUCUGAAUAUGGGGGGACCAUCCUCCAAGGCUAAAUACUCCUGACUGACCGAUAGUGAACCAGUACCGUGAGGGAAAGGCGAAAAGAACCCCGGCGAGGGGAGUGAAAAAGAACCUGAAACCGUGUACGUACAAGCAGUGGGAGCACGCUUAGGCGUGUGACUGCGUACCUUUUGUAUAAUGGGUCAGCGACUUAUAUUCUGUAGCAAGGUUAACCGAAUAGGGGAGCCGAAGGGAAACCGAGUCUUAACUGGGCGUUAAGUUGCAGGGUAUAGACCCGAAACCCGGUGAUCUAGCCAUGGGCAGGUUGAAGGUUGGGUAACACUAACUGGAGGACCGAACCGACUAAUGUUGAAAAAUUAGCGGAUGACUUGUGGCUGGGGGUGAAAGGCCAAUCAAACCGGGAGAUAGCUGGUUCUCCCCGAAAGCUAUUUAGGUAGCGCCUCGUGAAUUCAUCUCCGGGGGUAGAGCACUGUUUCGGCAAGGGGGUCAUCCCGACUUACCAACCCGAUGCAAACUGCGAAUACCGGAGAAUGUUAUCACGGGAGACACACGGCGGGUGCUAACGUCCGUCGUGAAGAGGGAAACAACCCAGACCGCCAGCUAAGGUCCCAAAGUCAUGGUUAAGUGGGAAACGAUGUGGGAAGGCCCAGACAGCCAGGAUGUUGGCUUAGAAGCAGCCAUCAUUUAAAGAAAGCGUAAUAGCUCACUGGUCGAGUCGGCCUGCGCGGAAGAUGUAACGGGGCUAAACCAUGCACCGAAGCUGCGGCAGCGACGCUGAUGCGUUGUUGGGUAGGGGAGCGUUCUGUAAGCCUGCGAAGGUGUGCUGUGAGGCAUGCUGGAGGUAUCAGAAGUGCGAAUGCUGACAUAAGUAACGAUAAAGCGGGUGAAAAGCCCGCUCGCCGGAAGACCAAGGGUUCCUGUCCAACGUUAAUCGGGGCAGGGUGAGUCGACCCCUAAGGCGAGGCCGAAAGGCGUAGUCGAUGGGAAACAGGUUAAUAUUCCUGUGCUUGGUGUUACUGCGAAGGGGGGACGGAGAAGGCUAUGUUGGCCGGGCGACGGUUGUCCCGGUUUAAGCGUGUAGGCUGGUUUUCCAGGCAAAUCCGGAAAAUCAAGGCUGAGGCGUGAUGACGAGGCACUACGGUGCUGAAGCAACAAAUGCCCUGCUUCCAGGAAAAGCCUCUAAGCAUCAGGUAACAUCAAAUCGUACCCCAAACCGACACAGGUGGUCAGGUAGAGAAUACCAAGGCGCUUGAGAGAACUCGGGUGAAGGAACUAGGCAAAAUGGUGCCGUAACUUCGGGAGAAGGCACGCUGAUAUGUAGGUGAAGUCCCUCGCGGAUGGAGCUGAAAUCAGUCGAAGAUACCAGCUGGCUGCAACUGUUUAUUAAAAACACAGCACUGUGCAAACACGAAAGUGGACGUAUACGGUGUGACGCCUGCCCGGUGCCGGAAGGUUAAUUGAUGGGGUCAGCGCAAGCGAAGCUCUUGAUCGAAGCCCCGGUAAACGGCGGCCGUAACUAUAACGGUCCUAAGGUAGCGAAAUUCCUUGUCGGGUAAGUUCCGACCUGCACGAAUGGCGUAAUGAUGGCCAGGCUGUCUCCACCCGAGACUCAGUGAAAUUGAACUCGCUGUGAAGAUGCAGUGUACCCGCGGCAAGACGGAAAGACCCCGUGAACCUUUACUAUAGCUUGACACUGAACAUUGAGCCUUGAUGUGUAGGAUAGGUGGGAGGCUUUGAAGUGUGGACGCCAGUCUGCAUGGAGCCGACCUUGAAAUACCACCCUUUAAU